AAAUUGAAGAGUUUGAUCAUGGCUCAGAUUGAACGCUGGCGGCAGGCCUAACACAUGCAAGUCGAACGGUAACAGGAAACAGCUUGCUGUUUCGCUGACGAGUGGCGGACGGGUGAGUAAUGUCUGGGAAACUGCCUGAUGGAGGGGGAUAACUACUGGAAACGGUAGCUAAUACCGCAUAACGUCGCAAGACCAAAGAGGGGGACCUUCGGGCCUCUUGCCAUCGGAUGUGCCCAGAUGGGAUUAGCUAGUAGGUGGGGUAACGGCUCACCUAGGCGACGAUCCCUAGCUGGUCUGAGAGGAUGACCAGCCACACUGGAACUGAGACACGGUCCAGACUCCUACGGGAGGCAGCAGUGGGGAAUAUUGCACAAUGGGCGCAAGCCUGAUGC
rnacentral:rRNA from 1 species